rnacentral:miRNA from 1 species
UAGGUUGACCAGCUGUCCUGGGUUGCCCAGGACUGAUGGGUUUACUGGGUCACAGGACUUCAGUGCUAAAUUCAGGUUGGUUCCAGGAAAACCGGGACAGUUGGUUAUGCUAAAUACAU